rfam:Bacillus licheniformis ATCC 14580, complete genome.
CUCUUAUCCAGAGAGGUGGAGGGAAGUGCCCUAUGAAACCCGGCAACCAUCAACACGUGUUGAAAUGGUGCCAAUUCACGCGAAGCGUUAUGCUUUGAAAGAUGAGAG